rnacentral:rRNA from 1 species
AUUGAACGCUGGCGGCAUGCCUUACACAUGCAAGUCGAACGGUAACAGGUCUUCGGAUGCUGACGAGUGGCGAACGGGUGAGUAAUACAUCGGAACGUGCCUAGUAGUGGGGGAUAACUACUCGAAAGGGUGGCUAAUACCGCAUGAGAUCUACGGAUGAAAGCAGGGGAUCGCAAGCCCUUGUGCUACUAGAGCGGCCGAUGGCAGAUUAGGUAGUUGGUGGGAUAAAAGCUUACCAAGCCGACGAUCUGUAGCUGGUCUGAGAGGACGAUCAGCCACACUGGGACUGAGACACGGCCCAGACUCCUACGGGAGGCAGCAGUGGGGAAUUUUGGACAAUGGGCGCAAGCCUGAUCCAGCAAUGCCGCGUGCAGGAUGAAGGCCUUCGGGUUGUAAACUGCUUUUGUACGGAACGAAAAGCCCUGGGUUAAUACCCUGGGGUCAUGACGGUACCGUAAGAAUAAGCACCGGCUAACUACGUGCCAGCAGCCGCCGUAAGAC